rnacentral:pre_miRNA from 2 species
UCUUAAGGAUGGGUAGAGAAAGUGGUUUCUUGACGUGGAAUCUACUCCUUGUAAAGAUGCUGUGAA